UACGUAGGGGGCAAGCGUUGUCCGGAAUCAUUGGGCGUAAAGAGCGUGUAGGCGGCCAGAUAAGUCCGCUGUGAAAACUCGAGGCUCAACUUCGAGCUGUCGGUGGAAACUAUUUGGCUAGAGUCCGGAAGAGGAGAGUGGAAUUCCUGGUGUAGCGGCGAAAUGCGCAGAUAUCAGGAGGAACACCGGUGGCGAAGGCGGGAUCCUGGGCCAGUACUGACGCUGAGGAGCGAAAGCGUGGGGAGCAAACAGG
rnacentral:rRNA from 1 species